UGGACAAUGGGCGAAAGCCUGAUCCAGCCAUGCCGCGUGUGUGAAGAAGGUCUUCGGAUUGUAAAGCACUUUAAGUUGGGAGGAAGGGCAUUAACCUAAUACGUUAGUGUUUUGACGUUACCGACAGAAUAAGCACCGGCUAACUUCGUG
rnacentral:rRNA from 1 species